AGAGUUUGAUCCUGGCUCAGGAUGAACGCUGGCUGUGUGCCUAAUACAUGCAUGUCGAGCGGAAGUAGCAAUACUUUAGCGGCGAAUGGGUGAGUAACACGUGCUUAAUCUACCUUUUAGAUUGGAAUACCUAAUGGAAACAUUGGUUAAUGCCGGAUACGCAUGGAAUCGCAUGAUUUCGUUGUGAAAGGAGCGUUUGCUUCACUAAAAGAUGAGGGUGCGGAACAUUAGCUAGUUGGUGAGGUAAUGGCCCACCAAGGCUAUGAUGUUUAGCCGGGUCGAGAGACUGAACGGCCACAUUGGGACUGAGAUACGGCCCAAACUCCUACGGGAGGCAGCAGUAGGGAAUAUUCCACAAUGAGCGAAAGCUUGAUGGAGCGACACAGCGUGCACGAUGAAGGCCCUCGGGUUGUAAAGUGCUGUUGCAAGGGAAGAACACUUAGUUGAGGAAAUGCAACUAAGCUGACGGUACCUUGUUAGAAAGCGAUGGCUAACUAUGUGCCAGCAGCCGCGGUAAUACAUAGGUCGCAAGCGUUAUCCGGAAUUAUUGGGCGUAAAGCGUUCGUAGGCUGUUUAUUAAGUCUGGAGUCAAAUCCCAGGGCUCAACCCUGGCUCGCUUUGGAUACUGGUAAACUAGAGUUGGAUAGAGGUAAGCGGAAUUCCAUGUGAAGCGGUGAAAUGCGUAGAUAUAUGGAAGAACACCAAAGGCGAAGGCAGCUUACUGGGUCUAUACUGACGCUGAGGGACGAAAGCGUGGGGAGCAAACAGGAUUAGAUACCCUGGUAGUCCACGCC
rnacentral:rRNA from 1 species